rnacentral:tRNA from 1 species
UCCUGGCUGGCUCAUUCAGUAGAGUGUAUGACUCUUGAUCUUGGGGUUGUGGGUUCAAGCCCCACGUUGGAUG